rnacentral:lncRNA from 1 species
UUUCAGAUACUGAUGAGUGAAUGCAAAAUAAAAUAAGGUAAUAAGGUAAUUGGAUGGGGGAAUGUCAUGCCGCUUUAAAGAAAGUGGUCAAAGGAGCAUUUGAAUAGACUUGAAUCAUGGGCAGAGCCUGCAAUGCAAAGAUCUGGGGAAGACAAUUCCAGGCAAAGAGGCCAGCAUGAGUCAAGGUCGUGUGUGAGGAGUGAAGGUGGUGCUUUGAAAGAUUAGCAAGAAGUCAUGGUGGCUACAGCAUAAUGAAUUAGGGGUGAGUAGUGGGAUUUGAGGUCUGAGAGGCAAGAGGUAGGGACAUCUCACAAAGGGACUUGUAAUAUGUCAGGACUGGAGAUUAGCUAAAUCUUGCCAGAGGUGUAGCUAGAAUCACCCAGAGAGAGAAGGUGUAUAGAGCAGAGGAGGCCUGGAGCUAAUCUCUGGGGUACCCCGAUAUCUAGAGGUGGAGACAAGGAGGAGAGCCACCAAAGAGAACUGAGGAGCAGC